rnacentral:lncRNA from 1 species
AAUUUAGAAAUUAAAAAUAAAAUUAAAAAAUAUUGAAAUAAAAAUAAAAAAUAUUAAAUUAAUAGAAAUAAAGUUUUCCUAAUAUUCUAGUCCCCGACAACGGCGCAAAAAAUUUGAUGUGUCAUGAAAUUAACUAAAAAUUUAACUAAGGUAAGUGCAUAUAUCAAUUAAUAGUAUAGCUACGGUGAGCAAAUAUAUUGUUCCCACGAAAAC